CUUCAGUCAAGGAGGGGGUGCCCGACAUAAACACCACCCCCGACAUCUCUCCCUCCAUUGAAAAGGCAGGGCGGCAAGAAAGCGUGAAGGGAGCCAACCUGCCACACGGGCAAGAGCGGAGAGGACAGGCGAGGCACCCAACAUUCGUGAGUCCCAUCGAAUCUAGCCCCGAGCAAUUCUCAGCAGCAGCGAGGAACCCUAGUCACUUCAAUCGGAGCAGAGACCAGCAAGCAGAUCGCGCUGCAAAAAUGUUCAGGUCGCGGCUGCAGGAGCUGUGCCAGCAGCGGCGGUGGGCGCCGCCGGUGUUCGAGCACACCCGCGAGGGCCCCGACCACUCUCCCCUCUUCCGCGCUACCGUCCUUGUCCAUGACGAGAAGUUCAGCUCCCCCGACGAAGGAGCGCGGUCGACCAAGGAGGCGUACAACCUCGCCGCCAUGGCCGCCUUCGAGCACCUCGCCGCGCUCCCGGCCGCGGCCGCGGCCCUUGUCCCGGUUCCGGUCGCUCCAGCGCCUCCACAGCCUGCGACCCAACUUCCUUACAAGAGUCAGUUACAAAUUUAUGCUCAGAAGUGAGGCAAGAAUCUGCCUUCAUAUCGUUCCAUUAAUGGAGGCUCUCUUCGCGCACCUCUAUUCAAGUCAGAAGUAACCAUAGAUGGGCAAACAUUUGAGAGCCCAGAAUACUUUCACACAAUGAAGGAAGCUGAAACUGCUGCUGCAAAAGUUGCUCUGAUGUCCUUACCUCAAGAAGCAAGCCCACCACAGCAAUCUCUUGUUCCGUCAGUAUCUUAUAAGAAUCUUCUACAAGAACUGGCUCAGAAGGAAGGCUUUCCCUUGCCUGUCUAUGCUACAACUUCAGAUGUCUCAAAUCAUUCUGCUGCCUUCAUAUCAACUGUCGAAAUUCAAGGUACAACUUUUCAGGGAGAGCCAGGGAACACCAAGAAGCAAGCAGAGAUGAAUGCUGCUAAGGUUGCUUUUCAACAUUUCAAAGACAGAUCAUCCAUGCAACAAGGAAACGAGAAUAUGUUUUCUGGACAAAAUAUCAAGAUUCUAUCCUCCAUGCAACAAGGAACCAAUAAUCUGUUUUCUGGAGAGAAGAUCAAGAUUCUAGAGCCUAAACUUUCAGCUCCUGUUGUAUCAACAGCAAAACCUGGCAAGGAUAGUGACUUUGAUGCUGUAAAUCAUGUUGCUAGAUCAGCUGGCUCUGCUAACCCACUCCCUGUUGCUGCUACCCCACAAUUUCUUGAUGAAAAUGCUCAAUCUGCAAUGAUGGAAGUUGGCAGAUUAUUCCUUCCAGAGCCAAGCAUAGAAGUUGAAGCAAUGAAUUCAUCUCUGGAAGUUGAAAAACUACCCCUUCUAGAGUCGAGCAGGGGCAUGGAAAUCGUGGACUCAUCUUUGAAAGUUGACAAACUGUCCCUUCCAGAGCAAAGCAUGGAUGUUAAAGUUACAGAUUCAUGUCUGAAAGUUGACGAACUGCCCAUUCCAGAACCAAGCACAGAGGUUGCAGUGAUGAACUCAUCUCUGCAAUUUGCUGAACCACCCAUUGCAGAACCAAGCACAGAAGGUGAAGUCAUGGACUCAUCUGUGAAAGUCGGCGAACUGCCCAUUCCCAAGGCAUGCUCAGAAGUUGAAGCAAUGGUAUCAUCUCAGGAACAGACAUCGACUGUGAAUGGUCACUCACCCCUCAUAGCCCCAACCAGUACCUCCACUCUCACUGGGCCAACUGCUACCAUGCCUGUCAGCUCUGAUAGAUGUGGCUGCUACAUGUCAACCAACAGAAUCCAAGUCUACCCUCGCAGCACCGACAUGGCUAUCCCUGAAGGCGCAACCAUGCUUCCCUUCAGCGACAACAACUGGGUGGCCGUAAGCCUGCCUUGCGGCAACAACAAUGAAAGUAAUCUGAACUCUGCAAUGUGAUUUUACUGGAGCAUGCAGCAUGCUCUUGCGCCACACUGAGGCUAUUGAGAUCUUGGAGCUAUUAUCUGGUGUCGAAACCGCAAAGCUAAUUCUGCAAGCGACCGUCAGGUAAACGUUGGAUCGCACUAGAGAAGAAUCGACGGCUGAUCUUGUGAUGCUGGUCAGCAGCCCGUGCCAAAGCUUAAUUCAUCUUUGCUACUGUGCUAGUAUGUAGGCUAAGAACUGACCGCCAUUCACUGCGACUAUAACUAUUUUGAUGUAUCCCCUAUUGUAUCUGGCUGAAGCAGCUUGCUCAACUAUGUGAGCGAAACCCAAGUUAUACUCAUGCCGGAUUAAUAACCGAAGUAGAGACCCUGAACAUUAAUUGGACCAUCCACAGCAUCCGGUCGUGAUCA